GGAAUUUUCCGCAAUGGGCGAAAGCCUGACGGAGCAAUACCGCGUGAGGGAGGAAGGCUCUUGGGUUGUAAACCUCUUUUCUCAGGGAAUAAGCAAGUGAAGGUACCUGAGGAAUCAGCAUCGGCUAACUCCGUGCCAGCAGCCGCGGUAAUACGGAGGAUGCAAGCGUUAUCCGGAAUGAUUGGGCGUAGAGCGUCCGUAGGUGGCUGUGUGUGUCUAUUGUUAAAGAGUUUGGCUCAACCAAAUAAGGGCGGUAGAAACUACACAGCUAGAGUGCGUUCGGGGCAGAGGGAAUUCCUGGUGUAGCGGUGAAAUGCGUAGAGAUCAGGAAGAACACCGGUGGCGAAAGCGCUCUGCUAGGCCGCAACUGACACUGAGGGACGAAAGCUAGGGGAGCGAAUGGGAUUAGAUACCCCAGUAGUC
rnacentral:rRNA from 1 species